CCUACGGGUGGCAGCAGUGAGGAAUAUUGGUCAAUGGGCGUAAGCCUGAACCAGCCAAGUCGCGUGAGGGAUGAAGGUUCUAUGGAUCGUAAACCUCUUUUAUAAGGGAAUAAAGUGUGGGACGUGUCCUGUUUUGUAUGUACCUUAUGAAUAAGGAUCGGCUAACUCCGUGCCAGCAGCCGCGGUAAUACGGGGGAUCCGAGCGUUAUCCGGAUUUAUUGGGUUUAAAGGGUGCGUAGGCGGCCUUUUAAGUCAGCGGUGAAAGUCUGUGGCUCAACCAUGGAAUGGCGGUGGAAACGGGGAGGUGGGAGUGUGUUUGAGGGAGGCGGAAGGCGUGGUGGAGGGGUGAAGUG
rnacentral:rRNA from 1 species